AGUUUAGUGAUUAAGUAUACUAAAUGAAUUCUGCCCAGUGUAAUUUUAUAAAUGGCCGCAGUACCCUGACUGUGCUAAGGUAGCAUAAUCAAUUGGCUUUUAAUUGAAGUCUGGAAUGAAAGAAAUAAUGAAAAAAUGCUGUCUUAAGAAUACUGAUUUUAACUUAUUUAUAAGGUGAAAAUACCUUUUUUUAAAAAAAAGACGAGAAGACCCUAAGAAUUUUUAAUUUUUUUAAUUUUAAUAAAAUUUUUUGUUGGGGCGACAAAUUAGAAUUUAAACCUAAUUUUUUAAACAGGCGAAUUUUUUAAGUAAUAAAAAAUUACCUUAGGGAUAACAGCAUAAUGUUUUUUAAGUUUGUGACCUCGAUGUUGGACUAGGAACUUUAUGGCUAGCAGUCAGAAAAGAUUUAUUCUGUUCGAAUAAUUUUAUCCU
rnacentral:rRNA from 1 species